AGGAUUUAUGUCCUCGACUUAAAUGCAAUUACUAAUAUAUAAUGGAUCGUAUUAUAGAGAUAAUAAGUUCGUUAUAUUGGGUCGUCUAUACGUCUUGCUAGAGAAAGCUAUAGAACUUCGGAUUAGUAAAUAAAUAAACCCGAAGCCCAAUGUAACGGAUCCUACAAGGUCACACAUUAAACUUGGAUCAACAAAAGAAACCUAGAGCCCAAGAGGGCCCUAGGGUGGCCGGCCAAGAGAGGAGAAAAGGAGAGAAUCUGACCUAAAUACUUUUAUAUAUUUGGGUUAGGCAGAAAAGAAAACAGUCAGUUUAUUCUCUUAUUAUUUUCUCUCUCCUAUUCUCUCUCUUCAAAAGUCACGUUAUACUCCAAGAAACCAAAGAAGAAGUUUUCUUCCUUUCCAACUAGCAUUGGUGGAGUGUUGAUCUGGGUUGGUGGACUAAGUAGAGGAAUCACAUCUGAGAUUCUCAAUCCGGGUUCUUCAAGCUUUGUGGAAAUCACGCUACAAAGAUAUCAUGUCUAAUAACAACAACAACAACUCCGGUUUCAACAUUCGUCCUUUUCUGGAAAAGGACAGACUGAAUGGUGAAAAUUUCCUUAAUUGGGAAAGGACCUUAAGACUCGUUCUGAGGUUUGAGGGUCGAGAGGACGUCUUAGAUACCCCGCUUCCUGUAAUAACUGAUGAAUCAA